CUUAAUCCACCCCCAAGCCCAUGACCACCCCAUCCUCUAAUGCAAAUCCUAGCCUUCGAUUGAAUUUAAUCCAAUGGUCCACGUGUAUCAUCCAAAACCAUACAAAAGCCCAAUAUUUCUCAAAAAACCCUAAUCCUAAACCUUAGAGACUCUCAGCCGCAUCUCCUCUCCAAAAACCAUCGCCGCCCGCCUCCAAAGUCGCCGGAACUCGCCCAACCCGGUGAGUUCACCCACUGGUCUCCUCAUGGCCCCCCUUCUCUCUUCUACUUCUUCCACAUAGCAAAACUCCAACAAAUCUCUUCAUUACCACACAUUUUUUUCUUUUAUCUUUCUUCGUCUAAACAAAAUUCCGGACCCUUGAAUAAAUCUGGGAAGAAUGGAAAUCGUUGGAUGGAAUUUUUGUCCAAAAAUCUCUAUUUUUUCGAUUUUUAUUUGUAAAAGGGGAUUUUCGGAUUUGAUCUUGUGGUGCCAUAUGAUUUCUUGCUGAAGAAGGAGAAGCUUCGAGAGAAGGCUAUAUAUUUGGAGGAUUUCGGACAGAGAGGGGAGAAGAAGAAAGGUUUGGGAGACGCUAGUGUUUUUCUGAGUUUUUUCCUUCCAAUUUUCAGUCAUUUGGGUAAAAUUUUAGAGUUCUCUUUGAGUCUUUCUUUCAUCUUCGAAACAGAAAAUACAAGAAAAGUAUAUUAGCUUCUGAUUUGUUUAACAAGCAUGGAGUUUAGCUGAUGUCUGUUGACUGCUCGUGAGGUUCUUGAUCGUGGUUCCAAAUCCAUUUUUGUUGUUUUUUUGUCCUUCUACUGGUUCGCGAUAUUGCUGUUAUUUUGCUUGAAUUUGGAGUAAAAGCUUUGUAUACGCCAAAUCUUCUGUUCUAUCGAAAGCUUAAGCUUCAACAGGUUCAAUGUGAUUUUAGUUAGGUUGGGUCUUCCUCCGUUACUUGUGUUCUAUUUUAUUUUCAUGCUUCAAUGUCUAUGUAUUCCAGUCUGUUCUGUUUGGACAUGUUGGAUGGCUAUAUGAUUUACUUCCAUUAUCAGUGAAUUAGUAUCGAAUUGCGUCGAGUUUCACAUGAAUAUGCAGUAUCUCCCAUUAGUUUUCUUUCUUGAAUCCCAACUGAUUCUUCGAUUGUACAUGUACUAAUUCACUUGUCGAUGAAGACCUAUACUUGUGUUCUGUUUUAUUUUCAUGCUUCAAUGUCUAUGUAUUCCAGUCUGUUCUGUUUGGACAUGUUGGAUGGCUAUAUGAUUUACUUCCAUUAUCAGUGAAUUAGUAUCGAAUUGCGUCGAGUUUCACAUGAAUAUGCAGUAUCUCCCAUUAGUUUUCUUUCUUGAAUCCCAACUGAUUCUUCGAUUGUACAUGUACUAAUUCACUUGUCGAUGAAGACCUAUACUUGUGUUCUGUUUUAUUUUCAUGCUUCAAUGUCUAUGUAUUCCAGUCUGUUCUGUUUGGACAUGUUGGAUGGCUAUAUGAUUUACUUUCAUUAUCAGUGAAUUAGUAUCGAAUUGCUUCGAGUUUCACAUGAAUAUGCAGUAUGUCCCAUUAGUUUUCUUUCUUGAAUCCCAACUGAUUCUUCGUUUGU
rnacentral:lncRNA from 1 species